GAUCCUGGCUCAGGACGAACGCUGGCGGCGUGNUUAACACAUGCAAGUCGAACGAUGAAGCCUUUCGGGGUGGAUUAAUGGCGAACGGGUGAGUAACACGUGGGCAAUCUGCCCUUCACUNUGGGACAAGCCCUGGAAACGGGGUNUAAUACCGGAUAACACUCUGUCCCGCAUGGGACGGGGUUAAAAGCUCCGGCGGUGAAGGAUGAGCCCGCGGCCUAUCAGCUUGUUGGUGGGGUAAUGGCCUACCAAGGCGACGACGGGUAGCCGGCCUGAGAGGGCGACCGGCCACACUGGGACUGAGACACGGCCCAGACUCCUACGGGAGGCAGCAGUGGGGAAUAUUGCACAAUCGGCGAAAGCGUGAUGCAGCGACGCCGCGUGAGGGAUGACGGCCUUCGGGUUGUAAACCUCUUUCAGCAGGGAAGAAGCGAAAGUGACGGUACCUGCAGAAGAAGCGCCGGCUAACUACGUGCCAGCAGCCGCGGUAAUACGUAGGGCGCAAGCGUUGUCCGGAAUUAUUGGGCGUAAAGAGCUCGUAGGCGGCUUGUCACGUCGGAUGUGAAAGCCCGGGGCUUAACCCCGGGUCUGCAUUCGAUACGGGCUAGCUAGAGUGUGGUAGGGGAGGUUGGAAUUCCUGGUGUAGCGGUGAAAUGCGCAGAUAUCAGGAGGAACACCGGUGGCGAAGGCGGNUCUNUGGGCCAUUAC
rnacentral:rRNA from 1 species